rnacentral:pre_miRNA from 14 species
CCGCUCGUCAAGUGGUUGUGAAACGGAUGUUCAACUCGUAUCACAGCCAGCUUUGAUGAGCGAUG